rnacentral:lncRNA from 1 species
CAGUUGGACCUCUCUCCUGACCUGAAAAAGGAGCAGACUUAGUCUGAACUUCACAAUGAAGCUGGUCACAGUUCUUUUCCUCUUCUCCUUUAUCCUGUGUGUCAACAGUGCUAAAAGUUCUAUACCAACUCCAGUUGAAAGUUUGGAAAUGGUUGAAAAAGGUGUUAAUGGACUGUGCUUGAACUAUUGUGAAUUGGUGGAAUCAGGAGAAGCAAAAGAUGGCUUUUUCUCACUUUUGGAGGUAUGAAAUGGAAUAUGUUUCUGACAGUGAAACAGAUAUGGGCAUUCUAGUGAACCUCAGAGGUGGAGAAAACUGGGUAUAAUCCCAUUAUAAACAGUGCAGUUACACUUUG